rnacentral:rRNA from 1 species
UGGGGAAUCUUGGACAAUGGGGGCAACCCUGAUCCAGCCAUGCCGCGUGAGUGAUGAAGGCCUUAGGGUCGUAAAGCUCUUUCGCCUGUGAAGAUAAUGACGGUAGCCGGAGAAGAAGCCCCGGCUAACUCCGUGCCAGCAGCCGCGGUAAUACGGAGGGGGUUAGCGUUGUUCGGAAUUACUGGGCGUAAAGCGCACGUAGGCGGACCAGAAAGUUGGGGGUGAAAUCCCGGGGGCUCAACCCCGGAACUGCCUCCAAAACUAUUGGUCUAGAGUUCGAGAGAGGUGAGUGGAAUUCCAAGUGUAGAGGUGAAAUUCGUAGAUAUUUGGAGGAACACCAGUGGCGAAGGCGGCUCACUGGCUCGAUACUGACGCUGAGGUGCGAAAGUGUGGGGAGCAAACAGGAUUAGAUACCCUGGUAGUCCACACCGUAAAACGAUGAAUGCCAGUCGUCGGGUAGCAUGCUAUUCGGUGACACACCUAACGGAUUAAGCAUUCC